UGAGAAAGUUUAUGAAAUAGACUCAUCUUGACCAGUAUAUCUAAUAACUUUAAACAAACCUAUCAACUCCAUAUUGCUAAUCCUUCUCAGAAUCCACUUUGAUCUCUGCAUCAUCUAGUGUCAAUGGAUCCUCUCUGUGACUUUAAAGCACCUUGGCUCGGUUGGAGGUACUGCUGCCCAAAGCCAGUUGUAAGUGUGAGGCCAACAGACGUGGAUGCCAGUCAGGAGCAGGGACCCAGCAGCAUGCUAUGCCAGUGAAACUCAGAGGAGAUGCUGCAAGGCAGUAUAGGGUGCACCAUCUUUGGCAAUAUUCAAGUUGUUCUCUGUUCCAGGAUCCAGCCUUACUGAAGGUUAGCUGCAGUCAUAUAAUUACAGGAAGGAAGUUUACGUUAGAGAAGGCAGUACAGUCUUCAGUCAUCCCUGAAAGUAUUUUAGACUGACAGAGGCUCCAGGGUGUGCGGUUCUGCGUGCUCUGGCUCAGCCCCAGCGUGCCCUUAGCUCUACCAACAUGCUAUAUGCAACAAAGUACAGAGAUGGACUGUAGACUUCCAGCAAGUUACCACUUCCAAGGACAAAGACAGGAAGCUUGCUCCUGGCUGUCCCACCCAUCUUGACUGAGCUGCCUGGAAGCUUCUCUGGAGUGAGUUUCUUCUAAGAUACCUGCAACUUGCUCCAUUUGCUUGAGCAUCCUAGAACUUCUUAAUCUGCUGUGUUCUGAUACUGGGCUUAUUCAUGUGUGAAAGGUGCUGUUAGGACACCUUUCUUUGCUGAAGAAAGCUGAAGUGAGUGUUCAUGGAAAUACUGCCGAUAAAAGGGUGUAUUAAAAAAUGAAAAUUGACAAGAGGACGUUAAGUACAAAAAAGAAGAUACUUGGAUUUGAUGGCUGAGCAUGAAUGGCUGCGUACAGAAAAGUGAUGCAGAACCCACUGGAAUUUGUUGCUGUCUCAAAGCUGAAGAAGACUAGAAUCAAAAUGAUUCUAGUUAUUCCUGGCUUUAAAGAUACAAAAGACAAGACAGAUGAGAGAAAACAAGAAGAAAAAUCACUGUGGAAGAAAA